GCGAGUUCAAGAAAGGUCUAUAAAGUUAUUUUAACACUCCCGCAGAAACUUUCGAAGGAGCUGUGGCGAAACUAAAAAGGCUACUGGAAAAUAAGCCAAUUGACUCCAGCGACGCAGAGGGAGUUAAACGUGGGCGAUCGUCGUCCACAAAUUUCAAUAUUGUCGCAGCGCCAUUGGCCCCCGCUCAGCCAAUAUUUGGGGUACAAACUGAAAUUAACCCUUCUGUUGAUGAAAUUAAUCCCGGAAUUGAUCAUCUUGUGGACACCAAUGCAGAAAAUAAUUCGGUCACCACCAAUCUUGAGUACCACUGUCUGCAGGUGGAACCGGAUCCACGACUCACAGAAUUACUGAAUGAAUUUCGAAAAUUUCAAGUUGAAUCUCUGCGAAACCAAGAACUUUUACUUGAACGUAUUCACCAAUUGGAGAAAAUUGUACUGAAUUCUCUAAACUCACAGCAAGGAGCAGCCUGUUCCGCUA